CCAAGAUCGCACCAUUGCACUCCAGCCUGGGCAACAAGAGUGAGACUCCAUCUCAAGAAAAAAAAAAAUACAAAUAUUAGCCGGUCAUGGUGGCUCAGGCCUGUAAUCCCAGCUACUCAGGAGGCUGAGGCUGGAGGAUUACUUAAGCCCAGGAAGCAGAGGUUGUAGUGAGCUGAGAUGGCACCAUCGCACACCAGCCUGGGCAACGGAGCAAGAUCCCAUCUCAAAAAUAAAUAAACAAAUAAUAAAUAAAUAAAAUAAAUACUUAAAAUUUCAUGGGAAGAGGGGAGAACCAGGGGGAAAUGUCUAAAAAUACUCCUUAGAGGAGCAAGAUAAUAAUAAUAGGUUGAGGGCUGGGCACAGUGGCUCAUGCCUGUAAUCCCAACACUUAGGGAGGCCAAGGUAGGCAGAUCACUUGAGGUCAGGAGUUUGAGACCAGCGUGGCCAACAUGGUGAAACCUUAUCUCUACUAAAAAUGCAAAAAGUAGCCGGGCGUGGUGGUGAGCGCCUGUAAUCCCAGCUACUCUGGAAGCUGAAGUUAGGAGAAUCACUUGAGCCCGGGAGAUGGAGGUUGCAGUAAGCCAAGAUCUCACCACUGCACUCCAGCCUGGGCCACAGAGCAAGACUCUGUCUCAAAUAAAUAAAUAGUUGUGGAGCACUUUGGGAGGCUGAGGUGGGUGGCUCAUUUGAGGUCAGGAGUUCAAGACCAGCCUGGCCAAUAUGGUGAAAUCCCAUCUCUACUAAAAAUACAAAAAAAAUUUAGCCAGGCCUGGUGGCAGGUGCCUGUAGUCUCAGCUAUUUGGUAGGUUGAGGCAGGAGAAUCGCUUGAACCCAGCAGGCGGAGGUUGCGGUGAGCCAAGAUCGCACUACUGCACUCCAGCCUGGGUGACAGAGCAAGACUCCAUCUCCAAUAUAUGUAUAUAUAUAAAUAUAUUCUCUGUGGUCCAUGGGCAAUGAGUGACCUAGCUAGAGUCUUCAUGGAGAUGGAAUGAAGUCAUGUACAAAAUGGAAAGCCUGCUGCCAAUGGCUGCCAAAUGCUCAAUCAAUGUGCCUAACAUGAAGAAUGAGUAAAUCUCAGUCAUUUCUUUUUGGAGACAAGGUCUCACUCUGUUCACCAGGCUGGAGUGCAGUGGCACAAUCACAGCUCACUGCAGCCUCGACCUCCUGGGCUCAAGCAAUCCUCCAUCUUCCCACCUCAGCCUCCUGCAUAGCUGGGACUACAGGUUCACGCCACCAUGCCUGGCUAAUUCUUUAUUUUUUGUAGAGACAGAGUCUUGCUAUGUUGUCCAGGCUGGUCUUGAACUCCUGGGCUCAAGCCUCAGCCUCCAAAGUCCUGGGAUUACAGGCAUGAACCACUGUGCCCAGCCUCACUAAUUUCUUUUUUCUUUUCUUUUCUUUUUUGAGACUGAGUCUCACUCUUGCAGCCCAGGCUGGAGUGCAAUGGCAUGGUCUCGGCUCAAUGCAACCUCUGCCUCCCGGGUUCAAGCAAUUCUCCUGCCUCAGUCUCCUGAGUAGCUGGGCUUACAGGCACCUGCCACCACCCCUAGCUAAUUUUUUGUAUUUUUAGUAGAGAUGGGGUUUUACCGUGUUGGCCAGGCUGGUCUCCAACUCCUGACCUCAGGUGAUCCACCUACCUUGGCUUCCCAAAGUGCUGGGAUUACAGCCGUGAGCCACAGAGCCCGGCCAGUAAUUUCAUCUUCUUCUUCUUUUUUUUUUUUUUUUUUUUUUUUUUUUUUGAGAGAAGUCUCACUCUUAUCCCCCAGGUUUGAGUGCAAUGGCUCGAUCUCGGCUCACUGCAACCUCCACCU
rnacentral:lncRNA from 1 species